CCUGCUGUGUAUGAGUCCUAAGGACUACUGAUAACAACAGGACUGGCUGGGACAACUUGGGUGAGCAGGCCACUAAUUGCAGUUACAGGCAAUCAAAACUUGAAUGAAAACAAAAAGAAACAACCAAGUUCUGAAUUUGUGACAGAGGAGUUUAAGUGGAAGUCUUCACAUAUCACACUCAGCAAAAUCAGAAUUACUGAAAUUCCAGAAUAGGAUAUCCAGUUCAGACAGCUGAAGCAAGAGAAUUUGGGGAAUGGAAGAAAUGCAUAAUUGGUGCCCUGUUUGAAAAUACACUACUGCUGUUUCACCGAGGAAUCCCUGCUCUUGGAAUAGCUCUGGAAGGCAGGAGGUGUUUGGCAAGAUGCUUUUCCAUGUCUGCAGUCCGGUGAGGAAUAUCAGCACAUGGUUAGCCCAGAGGAUGUGAAGAAAGAAUGACUGGUGUAUCUCUCUGGGACUGGUGGGAUAUCCAUCUUACCAUAGACUCAGCUACUUCUUAAUUUCACAUGCUGUGAGAAGAUAAUCUUUCUAACGAGAUGGAGCCAGAGCAAGCAUCCCGGGAAAGAGAAGAUAGGAAGGAAGAAGAGAGCAAAUUUCAGAAAUCAUGCCAGAAAUGGGUAAAUCUUAGCAAAAAAUUCCUCUUAGGGGCUUUCUAGAUGAAAAAGGGAAGACGGAGGAAAUGCAGCAGCUCAUUUUCUCUUACUGAGACCCACAGCUGUAGAAAGAGACAUUUCAAAAGCAUCAGUUUAUCAGGUCCUGACACAGACUCUGACUGCUGCGUACUAAAGAGGGAGUCUGGAAUAGGUAUCCAGGGAAAACACCAUGAGAUCUGUACCAUGCAGAGAAACAGAGGAUAUCCAGGGAAGAAAACAAGGGCAAGAGCAUCUGCAUCAAUUCACCUUGAGGUCUGCACUGUGCAAGGACUUACUCAUUAAAGAAGGAUGUGGGUUAAGGCAUAUCUCUGGAUGAAUUUGCUGUCUUUGUGGAAGUCACCAUCACUCAGAGCAGAAAGGAGCCUUUCACUGCAGGACCUGCUGGGUCUACACUAACCCACCUCCAUGCCAAAGCAAACAUUAUUCCUGCAGGCCCCUCCAUGCUACGUGAGGAGUACAGUUUCAAACCUCCCCUGCUCCAACCACUUCAGGCACUAAAUGUGAAACUGCGGACCAGCUUCUCAGCUGGUUCAGACUGGCUCAGCUCCUUCAAAAUCAGAGGAAUUCUACUGCCACCAUCUAAUUGGGGUUUUGGCCCAAUAUUCAGCCUUCAGUCCUUUUAGAAGGCAAGUUAUGAAUGUUUUUUAACCCGUUGAAGAUGUUCCUCUCUUCUGCCCUUCUUUUCUCCCCUCUUUCCCUUUCCCUGAUGCAGCCAUCUCCCCCUGCCUCCUCAGCUACCAGAGCUCACAUAGAGGGCAUUGUUAGUUACAAUUUACAGGGGGUGGAAAGCAUUAAAUCAUGGGUUAGGAAAAUAAAGUUCUUACCCUGCAGCAAUCAGAGGCAAGCAAUACUUCACCACCAAAACAUGGCAUGUGCAAUGGUGCAUUUUAACUGGAUUCCAGGGCACAGAAAUAUUUGCAGCUCUCGAUCCUAAAUUAUACUCACAUCCAAUAUCUCGGAUUUUCAUAUUACUCAAACAUAAAACUGUCACCA